UCGAGAAUUUUCGGCAGUGCGCGCAAGCGUGACCGAGCGAUGCCGCGUGCGGGAUGAAGGCCCUCGGGUUGUAAACCGCGAAAGUGAGGAGGAAGGCCCUGUGAAGAGCAGGUUUUGACCGAUCCACAGUAAGGACGGGCUAAGUUCGUGCCAGCAGCCGCGGUAACACGAACCGUCCAAACGUUAUUCGGAAUCAUUGGGCUUAAAGGGUGCGUAGGCGGCGCGUUAAGUCGGGUGUGAAAUCCCUCAGCUCAACUGAGGAACUGCGCCCGAUAGUGGCGUGCUUGAGUGAGACAGAGGUAAGCGGAACUGAUGGUGGAGCGGUGAAAUGCGUUGAUAUCAUCAGGAACACCGGUGGCGAAAGCGGCUUACUGGGUCUCUUCUGACGCUGAGGCACGAAAGCGAGGGUAGCGAACGGGAUUAGAUACCCCCGUAGUCC
rnacentral:rRNA from 1 species